rnacentral:piRNA from 1 species
UAGAAGAAUGGCACGCAGGGUUUGCUGGGC